rnacentral:tRNA from 1 species
UAGCCCCGGGCGGAUUUGAACCGCCGUCGCAGGUUCCAAGGACCUGCAGGCUUGACCGCUACCCUACGGGGCU